AACGCAUCUUGCGCUCUCGGGUUAUUCCUGGGAGCAUGCUUGUUGGAGUAACGGAAACGCUCAACCCCGUCCUGAUCUUCGGAUUUGGGUAGUCAGGGUUAGGAUCGUGACGCCUUGUUGUCUUCAUCGACAACUGCGUUGAAAUACAAAGAGCUGAAAAACCUCAGUGUUACUACGAGCUUUGAACUAUUGUUGUAAACCAAUUUCAAUAGGCCUUAUGCUUUUGCACUGUCGAUUUAUCAAAGUAGGCUUACCACAAAACUACAAACUUUUUAUAGCUUGUUCUCCAAUCAAGUAGGACUACCCGCUGAACUUAA
rnacentral:misc_RNA from 1 species